UACUACACCCCUCCAACAAUGAGUGGAUUGCACCUUGUUGCGGUCAAUCCCCCUAUCGUCCGAUCGUCGAUAUCGCGUAUCUGUAAGAAAAGUUCUCACAGACCGAAAAUACCUCCGAUGGGGAUCCUCCGACGGUCAAGUCAGAGAGGAGACUAGGAAACAGACGAAAAAUCAAGGGCUCAGCGGGAGAGAGGGAAAGAGAGCUCAAG
rnacentral:lncRNA from 1 species